GAGCUCUUAAGAGCAAAAAAACUGAGGAAGAACACAGGAUGAGGAGAGAAGAGGAGAGGAGAUAAUACAAUUUACUAAGAUGGAGAAAAAGGAUGCUCAUGACAAAUAUUUAUAAAUAUAUGUAUAUAACUAGUAAUGCGCAAGUAACUGCUCACCACCUCCUGACUCAUGGCAGCUAGCCCACUGAGCAGUAGAAGAGGAAGAAAUGAACUCCCACCCUCUUCAGAACUUCUGCACAAUAAGAACCAAAAGAGAGCAUCAUGCCAGACAGUCUGAAGAGAACAAUUCUGUACCAGCUGAAACUAAGAUAGAUAGAAUCAUCUGGAAGAGAUCUUCAAAGAUCUUCCAGUGCAACUAACCACUUCAGGGCUAACUUUAAGUUAUAGCUUAUUACUAAGAUACUUGUGUAUGUGUCUCUUGAACACUGACAGUAUGGGACAUCAACUGCCUGCAAAAAAGCCUGUUCAGAUGUUUGACAACACUCAUGAGAAGAAACUGGCACCUCCCUCUCCAUUUCUCCUCAAGAAGUUGCAGAGCAAUGAGAUUACCUCUUAGCCUCCUUUCCUCAAGUAGACAAAUCAAUUGUCCUCAGCUUCACUUUAUAAGAGAAGCC